rnacentral:ncRNA from 1 species
GGUCACGAGUGCCAGCGCUAAACCCCGGUUUGCUGGCCGGCAACCCUCCAGACGCGGUGGGGUGCCCCGGGUGACGACCAGGCCGGCCACAGAAAGUGGUGCGGCAAGCGCGGUGC